AUUUUUGUUUUAAAAAUAAGAAGCCAAUAGAACCUGGAGUCACUAAAAAUACUUUUUUUUUUUCAUUCUCCUAACCGUACUAAAAAAUAAAUAAAUAAACCGAGGAAAAGCCAACCAUUGGUAAGAAAAAGUGUUCACUAUCCAUACUCACAACAAAACAACUGAAAACCGGUUUCUCGUCAUUUCACUGUGUCCAUUAAGGAACAGCAAAUAGUAAAGUGAUCCAAAAUGAAGCAACGAAACUUAUCGCCGUUUUUUUUUGUAAUCCUUGUUGGUUGAAAAUCUUCCUUCUAAUUAUUUUGAAAGCAUUUAUUUACUUUUUAAAUAGAAACAGGUUAAUCAUAGACGGCAUGGCUUUGAAGGGUAGAUUUCGAUCUUGCAAAUGAACUUGCGUUUACAUUGUCAACUUUGUCUCUCUUGGCUUUAAAGCAAGUGCGCAAAGCCACUUACUAAGACAAGGAAAAAGGUAACAAGACGGAAAGGUCGGCUAUCUACCUUAGCGGCACCACUUUGUUUGACCGGUGAUGUACUGUUCUUAGAGCCUUUAAUUGUUCCAUUUCCUAACAGUUCAUCAAAAUCGUCAUCAUCGAAAGAAGACUCCUUGCUUUGUCUGGGAUUGUCAACCGAUCCUCGGCAAACAAACGAUUUGCCCUUGAUGAUCCCGUCGCUCUGGCGGAAGGGACAAGUAAAGUCGCUCGAUGUAGUUUGUAUGUUCAAACCUCCUUUAACAUCUCGUAACUUGGGAAGUUCAACGCUGCUAAAGUUACCGGUAAAGUCGAUGGAUCCUGCUACGGUCUUCAAUUUAUCAUAUCCUUUGAUUUGUGCCAAUGCUGCACUGUUGGCAAUCAUAAAAGUACCUCCAAUGCUCUCAAGUUGCUUGAAAUUUAGCGAAGUCAAUUCCUGAUUGCCUAUAAAGAAAAGAGACUGUCCAAUUCGUGUAAUGUUUGGGCAUGAUAUAUCCUGCAACGUGCUGUUGAGGAAGCCUAAAAAUCCUUUGACCUCUUCUAAAUUCGAAAGUUGUAAGUGAGCUACGCGUUGAAUCGUCAUGUCACCCACGGUUUUAAGUCUAGGAAGGGUAACACUGAUCUCCCUGGCAUUGUAAGAGACGUAAAACUUCGACUCCACACUUUCCAAAUAGGGCAUAUCAACUUCUCGCAAAUAAUUGUUGUUAACAAUUACCAUCGUAUCCGUAGUAUUCAAAGAAAUACCUGCAAGUGUGGAGAGUUGGGUAUCCUCGAUGGUGAGCUUAUGGGCCUUUUUGAUCCCCUUAUCGAAUCGAAUCCCUUGAAGAUUUGGCAAGAUACGCAUCGUUAAUUGGCCAACAUUUGCCAGUUGAGGUGCGUAAACACUAGCGAGUCGUGUGAGUUUUUCAAACCGUAAUUCUCCACCCACACUGGAAAUGGAUGUCAGGGCUACCGAUGCAAGGUAGUUGUUAUUACGAAUGAUGAGAUCACCGGUAAUGGUCUCUAUUCUAUUGAAAUUCAAAGAAGUAGCUGAGCUAGUGUUCAUGAUGAUAGAGCCAUUCACAACCUGACAGUUGCUUAAAACGUCCAAGUCAUUCUGUGUCUCAAUAAUGUACUCGGGGGCACCACAAACCGCUGGGGUUGCACCAGCGAUCACUACGCUCCACGCAGUGAAACUGGUAAACAAAUAAAAGCGUGAAGACAAGCGCAUUUUAUGAUAAAUGAAGAAUGAAUAUAAAGGAGGGAAAAGUUGUUAGGGAUAAUAAAAGCAAUAAAAUCUAUCAAGUACGACCAAAAUUUUUGUCGUAGCAGGAAGGGAUUGGAAAUGAAAUUAUGAAUACUGAAGAAUGAAUUCGGGUCUUUGUAGGGUUUGGAAAUGAUGAACCU